UACGGAGGGUGCAAGCGUUAUCCGGAUUCACUGGGUUUAAAGGGUGCGUAGGUGGGCAGGUAAGUCCGUGGUGAAAUCUCUGAGCUUAACUCAGAAACUGCCGUGGAUACUAUUUGUCUUGAAUAUUGUGGAGGUAAGCGGAAUAUGUCAUGUAGCGGUGAAAUGCUUAGAUAUCGUCAAGAACACCUAUAGCGAAGGCAGCUUACUAGGCUGUAACUGACGCUGAGGCACGAAAGUGUGGGGAGCGAACAGG
rnacentral:rRNA from 1 species